GGCUCAUCCUAGACACAGACAGCUCAUGACAAAAGGUUUUUUUGGUGUCUUGCAGAACGGCAUUAAUAAUGAUAUAGCUUCAAGCUAUUGCAGUUGACUAAAGCUUGAGGUACGGGUGAAGAUUGCAAAGCAGUACGGGUGAUGGACGUGCGGUUUGGCGUCUCCGACUGAUGCGAGAGCAGAUUGGGCCUGUGCUGACAGACAUGACAGAUAAGAGAAAUGGUCAAUAUACGUGUGAACUGAAACACUGAAGGAAGAAAAUGGAGCUGAAUGCCAUCUUGGGUAAUUUUAGACUGUCAGCAACAGCACUGUAAGAAACAGAUCGAACUCCAAGCGACAAAUGGCUUCUGCAUGUUCAGUCUGCUCUCAAGAAAAAAAUGUCUAUGCCAGUUUUUGGUAUACUCAGAAGAAAAUGUUUAAGUCACAGUUUAACCCGUAUCAAUGAAUGAAAUAAUGGAUUCCAGCCAAGUUUCAGCUAGUUUUGUCCAAUUCUGAAGAGUCUAAAACAGACUUCAACUGUAUGACUGGGAGCAAUAAAAGGCACAGCACCACCCUCUUGUGGAAACAACUAUCACACCUGGAGCUCGGAAGCCACUUCUCUGCUAAAUUGAACUCUUGUGUAUCAAGUGAAAUGAAUUAACAUGUCUAACUAUUAAUUCUGUAGUGUAUGUCCAACCAGCAUAAAUAAAAAUACAUCCUUUAUUCAUCUUAAGUAAUCCUAGACAGUGUAAUGGUCAGAUGUUGCCCUGGUUAUAAAGGCCAUGUUCACACACUUUCAGAGAUUCAUUUACACCCGGGGUGUUAUUUAAUGUCCACCACCAUUUGGCUUGUUUUUAGAACAUGUUUGCAAACCAGGGAACCUGGACAUAAAAAAAACAUGUCAGACAGUCAGCAGUGCUCAGGAUCGAACCAGGGACGCUAAGAGCUGUGCGGCGGCAACGCAACCCGCUGUGUCGCCAUGCAACCCACAGACAGUCAUUUCUGUACUGGGAAAAAAGAGCAGUGGAACCUAUUUAUAAUGCAAUUACUUAUGACAGAUAAGUCUAGCGCUCAUUGUGGCAGUCAAUAAAUGCGAAAUGCCUGUUUUGGAAUCAAUAAACUUUAUGUCUUUUCAAAGCGAGAACUACUUUUUCAAAGGGAAAAAAAAAAGUGCACACAAAGGUUCUGCGAAUGUUGUCAUUUUGAGGCAUAAAGUCAUGCUGGAAAAAUGUGUCACAUCUUUCUGCAAUUCUGCAAGUAUGGGGGGAAAACCCUCAAUAAUCA